UACAGAGGGGGCAAGCGUUAUUCGGAAUUAUUGGGCGUAAAGGGCACGUAGGCGGCGAUUCAAGUGACGGGUGAAAUCCCUCGGCUUAACCGAGGAACUGCCUGUCAGACUGGAUUGCUUGAGGCCGGGAGAGGCGAGUGGAAUUCCCAGUGUAGCGGUGAAAUGCGUAGAUAUUGGGAGGAACACCAGUGGCGAAGGCGGCUCGCUGGACCGGUUCUGACGCUGAGGCGCGAAAGCGUGGGGAGCAAACAGG
rnacentral:rRNA from 1 species